UUAGCUAGUUGGUGAGGUAACGGCUCACCAAGGCGACGAUGCGUAGCCGACCUGAGAGGGUGAUCGGCCACAUUGGAACUGAGACACGGUCCAGACUCCUACGGGAGGCAGCAGUGGGGAAUAUUGCACAAUGGGGGAAACCCUGAUGCAGCAACGCCGCGUGAGUGAUGAAGGUCUUCGGAUUGUAAAGCUCUGUCUUUAGGGACGAUAAUGACGGUACCUAAGGAGGAAGCCACGGCUAACUACGUGCCAGCAGCCGCGGUAAUACGUAGGUGGCAAGCGUUAUCCGGAUUUACUGGGCGUAAAGGGAGCGUAGGCGGAUAUUUAAGUGGGAUGUGAAAUACCCGAGCUUAACUUGGGAGCUGCAUUCCAAACUGGAUAUCUAGAGUGCAGGAGAGGAGAAUGGAAUUCCUAGUGUAGCGGUGAAAUGCGUAGAGAUUAGGAAGAACACCAGUGGCGAAGGCGAUUCUCUGGACUGUAACUGACGCUGAGGCUCGAAAGCGUGGGGAGCAAACAGGAUUAGAUACCCUGGUAGUCCACGCCGUAAACGAUGAACAGUAGAUGUUGGUCCCGAAGGGAUUCAGUGUCGCAGUUAAACGCAAUAAAGUGCUCCGCCUGGGGAGUACGCUCGCAAGAGUAAAACUCAAAGGAAUAGACGGGGACCCGCACAAGCAGCGGAGCAUGUGGUUUAAUUCGAAGCAACGCGAAGAACCUUACCAGGGCUUGACAUCCCGAUGACCGUUCCUUAACCGGAACUUCUCUACGGAGCAUCGGUGACAGGUGGUGCAUGGUUGUCGUCAGCUCGUGUCGUGAGAUGUUGGGUUAAGUCCCGCAACGAGCGCAACCCUUGUCGUCAGUUACUAACAUUCAGUUGAGGACUCUGGCGAGACUGCCGAGGUUAACUCGGAGGAAGGUGGGGAUGACGUCAAAUCAUCAUGCCCCUUAUGUUCUGGGCUACACACGUGCUACAAUGGUCGGUACAAUGAGAGGCAAACCUGUGAGGGGGAGCAAAUCACCAAAACCGAUCCCAGUUCGGAUUGUAGGCUGAAACUCGCCUACAUGAAGUUGGAGUUGCUAGUAAUCGCAGAUCAGAAUGCUGCGGUGAAUGUGUUCCCGGGUCUUGUACACACCGCCCGUCA
rnacentral:rRNA from 1 species